AUGAGGAUUAUGGAAAAUCCUGGGAUCAAACUGCUGAUCUUGCAGUUCAUUAAAAUCCACUCCACCAGCACAACCAUGUUCACUCAGUUUGUAUCACUGUGGUGGACUUUUGGUGGAGGAACCAGACUGGAUGUUAACUUGGGUCAAGUCCGUCCCACCCUGACGGUGCUGCCCCCCUCUAGUGAGGAGAUAAAGAAGGGCCAUGCCACACUUACAUGUCUGGCCAACAAGGGCUUCCCCUCAGACUGGAGUCUGUCCUGGAAGGUGGACGGCAGCAGCAGCAGCAGCUAUGAGGAGAGCAGGAGCCCCGGGGUGCUGCAGAAGGACGGCCACUACAGCUGGAGCAGCACCCUGAGGGUCCCUGCAGACCAGUGGAGGAAGGUGGGCUCUGUGACAUGUGAAGCCACCCAGGGCUCCCAGACUCCACUCUCAGAGACACUGAGGAGAGACCAGUGUUCCCAGUACUGACCUGACUCACUGGGAAUCUGAUUCCUUUACAGCUCUCAGUCUGUUUUCUUUCUUUCUCUCUAUUUUGUUCUUUCACCAUAUAAUUUUACAUAUUUUCUUUCUUAUGUUAUUGUGUUUUAUUUUUAUGUUUCAAAUGAAUAAAAACUUCUUCAAAUAAUG